rnacentral:rRNA from 1 species
CCUACGGGGCGCAGCAGUGAGGAAUAUUGGUCAAUGGGCGGGAGCCUGAACCAGCCAAGUCGCGUGAGGGAAGACGGUCCUAUGGAUUGUAAACCUCUUUAGGCGGGGAGCAAUGCCGGGCACGUGUGCACGGAGGGAGAGUACCCGCAGAAUAAGCAUCGGCUAACUCCGUGCCAGCAGCCGCGGUAAUACGGAGGAUGCGAGCGUUAUCCGGAUUGAUUGGGUUUAAAGGGUGCGUAGGCGGAUUUUUAAGUCAGCGGUAAAAUGUCCGGGCUCAACCCGGGCCGGGCGUUGAAACUGGGGAUCUUGAGUGGGCGAGAAGUAUGCGGAAUGCGUGGUGUAGCGGUGAAAUGCAUAGAUAUCACGCAGAACUCCGAUUGCGAAGGCAGCAUACCGGCGCCCGACUGACGCUGAGGCACGAAAGCGUGGGGAUCGAACAGGAUUAGAUACCCCGGUAGUC